AUGGCGGGGAAGAGGGAGAGGAUUGCGAUACGGAGGAUCGAGAAUCUGGCGGCGAGGCAGGUCACCUUCUCCAAGCGCCGGCGGGGCCUCUUCAAGAAGGCCGAGGAGCUCUCCAUCCUCUGCGACGCCGAGGUCGGCCUCGCCGUCUUCUCCGCCACCGGCAAGCUCUUCCAGUUCGCCAGCUCCAGCAUGAACCAGAUUAUUGACCGGUAUAACUCUCAUUCCAAGAUACUUAAGAAAGCAGACGAGCCAUCUCAGCUGGACUUGCAUGAGGACAGCAAUUGUGCAAGACUAAGCGACGAGCUUGCAGAAGCAAGCCUCUGGCUCCAGCAGAUGAGAGGAGAGGAGCUCCAGAGCCUGAACGUCCAGCAGCUUCAGGCCCUAGAGAAGAGCCUCGAGUCCGGGCUCGGCUCCGUUCUGAAAACCAAGAGCCAAAAGAUCAUGGACCAGAUCAGCGAGCUAGAAAAUAAGAGGGUGCAACUGAUAGAGGAAAACGCAAGGCUAAAGGAGCAAGCGUCCAAGAUGGAGAUGCAGGUCGCCGCUGAUUCACCGGUGGUGUACGAGGAAGGACAGUCGUCUGAGUCCGUCACGAACACGUCGUAUCCGCGCCCUCCCCUCGACACCGAGGACAGCUCCGAUACGUCUCUCAGGCUCGGAUUACCACUCUUCAACUCAAAGUGA
rnacentral:rRNA from 1 species